UACGUAGGGGGCGAGCGUUGUCCGGAUUUAUUGGGCGUAAAGAGCUCGUAGGCGGUUUGGCAAGUCGGGUGUGAAAACUCCGGGCUCAACUCGGAGACGCCACUCGAUACUGCUAUGACUCGAGUCCGGUAGGGGAGUGCGGAAUUCCUGGUGUAGCGGUGAAAUGCGCAGAUAUCAGGAGGAACACCAAUGGCGAAGGCAGCUCGCUGGGACGGUACUGACGCUGAGACGCGAAAGCGUGGGGAGCAAACAGG
rnacentral:rRNA from 1 species